rnacentral:rRNA from 1 species
UACGUAGGUGGCGAGCGUUGUCCGGAUUUACUGGGCGUAAAGAGCGCGCAGGCGGUCGUUCAAGUCGCGUGUGAAAGCCCCCGGCUCAACUGGGGAGGGUCACGCGAUACUGAUCGACUCGAAGGCAGGAGAGGGAAGUGGAAUUCCCGGUGUAGUGGUGAAAUGCGUAGAUAUCUGGAGGAACACCGGUGGCGAAGGCAGCUUGCGUGGGACGGUACUGACGCUGAGUGAGCGAAAGCCAGGGGAGCAAACGGG